AUUCUCCCGGCCCUCUGCGGGCAGGGAGGGGGGAGGUGGCCGGCACCGGAGUGCCAGCAGGGCAGGGGCGGGGCCCUAGGGGCUUUUAAAGGCUCCCAGGGGGAGGCCCUCCUGGCUCAGCACCUGCCUGCCUGCCCCCAGACACCGCUGCCACCAUGUGGUUCCUGGUCCUGGGCCUUGCUCUGUGCCUGGCCGGCACUGGCGCCGUGCCCCUCGCCCAGUCCCGCAUCGUGGGAGGCUGGGAGUGCAAGCAUGCCCAGCCCUGGCAGGCGGCCCUGUACCACUACAACCGCUUCGAGUGCGGGGGCGUCCUGGUGGACCCCCAGUGGGUGCUCACGGCUGCCCACUGCAUCAGCGA